rnacentral:rRNA from 1 species
CGGACGGGUGGGUAAUGUCUGGGAAACUGCCCGAUGGAGGGGGAUAACUACUGGAAACGGUAGCUAAUACCGCAUAACGUCGCAAGACCAAAGAGGGGGACCUUCGGGCCUCUUGCCAUCGGAUGUGCCCAGAUGGGAUUAGCUAGUAGGUGGGGUAACGGCUCACCUAGGCGACGAUCCCUAGCUGGUCUGAGAGGAUGACCAGCCACACUGGAACUGAGACACGGCCCAG